CGUGAGACAGUUCGGUCCCUAUCUGCCGUGGGCGCUGGAGAAUUGAGGGGGGCUGCUCCUAGUACGAGAGGACCGGAGUGGACGCAUCACUGGUGUUCGGGUUGUCAUGCCAAUGGCACUGCCCGGUAGCUAAAUGCGGAAGAGAUAAGUGCUGAAAGCAUCUAAGCACGAAACUUGCCCCGAGAUGAUUUCUCCCUGAGACUAUAAGUCUCCUGAAGGAACGUUGAAGACGACGACGUUGAUAGGCCGGGUGUGUAAGCGCAGCGAUGCGUUGAGCUAACCGGUACUAAUGAACCGUGAGGCUUAACCUUA
rnacentral:rRNA from 2 species